AUGAGUCGGAUAGCUUGGGAAUGCUGUCCUAAGAGGUGGUAAAUCUCACCUAAGGCUAAAUACUGGCAAGAGACCGAUAGCAAACAAGUACCGUGAGGGAAAGUUUAAAAGCACUUUGGAAAGAGAGUGAAAAGAACCUGAAACCGCUAGGGGGGAACCGAGUUGCGUGGAUAAGUUUGAGGAGAGUGUCGAUCAGUGGGUGAAACCGCGUACUCCGCACUUUUCCUCUUCCGUCAUGGGUUCAUGGAGGCAGAUAUUUGUGUCUCCGUGGACUGAGGGAAGUCCCUUUUACAGGUGACGAUGACGGCCUACUUUUAAUAUUGACGCGAAUCGACCCGUCUUGAAACACGGACCAAGGAGUCUAGCGUGUCUGCGAGUCAAAGGGUGUGAAAACCUGAGGGCGCAGUGAAAGCGAAUUACAUUUGUAGCAAAAUGGAUCAAUUUAAGGCGGCAUACGAUCGUUGAUUGUAAGUCCGACCUAGAGCAGAUAUGCUAGGACCCGAAAGAUGGUGAACUAUGCUUGAAUAGGGCGAAGCCAGAGGAAACUCUGGUGGAGGCUCGCAGCGGUGCUGACGUGCAAAUCGCUCGUCAAAUUUGAGUAUAGGGGCGAAAGACUAAUCGAACCAUCUAGUAGCUGGUUUCCUCCGAAGUUUCUCUCAGGAUAGCAGGCCCAAAUUAUGUUGUUGUGUGUGGUAAAGCGAAUGAUUAGCAUACUCGGGGGCAUUAAGUCUUCGGAUGAUUCUCAAACUUUAAAUGCGCACGGAUAUUGCCGCUUAAUUGGGCGAUAUCGUUAAAAACUUGGGCUUUGUGGGCCAUUUUUGGUAAGCAG
rnacentral:rRNA from 1 species